rnacentral:rRNA from 1 species
GAUGAACGCUGGCGGCGUGCCUAAUACAUGCAAGUAGAACGCUGAAGCUUGGUGCUUGCACCGAGCGGAUGAGUUGCGAACGGGUGAGUAACGCGUAGGUAACCUGCCUCUUAGCGGGGGAUAACUAUUGGAAACGAUAGCUAAUACCGCAUAAAAGUCGAUAUCGCAUGAUAUUGAUUUGAAAGGUGCAAAUGCAUCACUAAGAGAUGGACCUGCGUUGUAUUAGCUAGUUGGUGAGGUAACGGCUCACCAAGGCGACGAUACAUAGCCGACCUGAGAGGGUGAUCGGCCACACUGGGACUGAGACACGGCCCAGACUCCUACGGGAGGCAGCAGUAGGGAAUCUUCGGCAAUGGGGGCAACCCUGACCGAGCAACGCCGCGUGAGGGAAGAAGGUUUUCGGAUCGUAAAGCUCGGUUGUAAGAGAAGAAAGAGGGUGAGAGUGGAAAGUUCACAAUGUGACGGUAACUUACCAGAAAGGGACGGCUAACUACGUG